rnacentral:rRNA from 1 species
AGUCGAGCGAACAGAUAAGGAGCUUGCUCCUUUGACGUUAGCGGCGGACGGGUGAGUAACACGUGGGUAACCUACCUAUAAGACUGGAAUAACUCCGGGAAACCGGGGCUAAUGCCGGAUAACAUUUAGAACCGCAUGGUUCUAAAGUGAAAGAUGGUUUUGCUAUCACUUAUAGAUGGACCCGCGCCGUAUUAGCUAGUUGGUAAGGUAACGGCUUACCAAGGCAACGAUACGUAGCCGACCUGAGAGGGUGAUCGGCCACACUGGAACUGAGACACGGUCCAGACUCCUACGGGAGGCAGCAGUAGGGAAUCUUCCGCAAUGGGCGAAAGCCUGACGGAGCAACGCCGCGUGAGUGAUGAAGGUCUUCGGAUCGUAAAACUCUGUUAUUAGGGAAGAACAAAUGUGUAAGUAACUAUGCACGUCUUGACGGUACCUAAUCAGAAAGCCACGGCUAACUACGUGCCAGCAGCCGCGGUAAUACGUAGGUGGCAAGCGUUAUCCGGAAUUAUUGGGCGUAAAGCGCGCGUAGGCGGUUUCUUAAGUCUGAUGUGAAAGCCCACGGCUCAACCGUGGAGGGUCAUUGGAAACUGGGAAACUUGAGUGCAGAAGAGGAAAGUGGAAUUCCCUGUGUAGCGGUGAAAUGCGCAGAGAUAUGGAGGAACACCAGUGGCGAAAAGCGACUUUCUGGUCUGUAACUGACGCUGAUGUGCGAAAGCGUGGGGAUCAAACAGGAUUAGAUACCCUGGUAGUCCACGCCGUAAACGAUGAGUGCUAAGUGUUAGGGGGUUUCCGCCCCUUAGUGCUGCAGCUAACGCAUUAAGCACUCCGCCUGGGGAGUACGACCGCAAGGUUGAAACUCAAAGGAAUUGACGGGGACCCGCACAAGCGGUGGAGCAUGUGGUUUAAUUCGAAGCAACGCGAAGAACCUUACCAAAUCUUGACAUCCUUUGACAACUCUAGAGAUAGAGCCUUCCCCUUCGGGGGACAAAGUGACAGGUGGUGCAUGGUUGUCGUCAGCUCGUGUCGUGAGAUGUUGGGUUAAGUCCCGCAACGAGCGCAACCCUUAAACUUAGUUGCCAGCAUUUAGUUGGGCACUCUAAGUUGACUGCCGGUGACAAACCGGAGGAAGGUGGGGAUGACGUCAAAUCAUCAUGCCCCUUAUGAUUUGGGCUACACACGUGCUACAAUGGACAAUACAAAGGGCAGCUAAACCGCGAGGUCAUGCAAAUCCCAUAAAGUUGUUCUCAGUUCGGAUUGUAGUCUGCAACUCGACUACAUGAAGCUGGAAUCGCUAGUAAUCGUAGAUCAGCAUGCUACGGUGAAUACGUUCCCGGGUCUUGUACACACCGCCCGUCACACCACGAGAGUUUGUAACACCCGAAGCCGGUGGAGUAACCAUUUAUGGAGCUAGCCGUCGAAAGGGGG